GUAGUAGAACAGCAGGCCAAGGUGACCCGGGACAUGAGGAGGUGGCGGGAGAAGAAUAUGUGGAGCAGGGAGAACAUCUCAGAGAUGAGGAGGCAGAAGAGAGACAAGACAAUGUGCAGGACCCAGACAGUGACAGUGAGAGGGAGAGGAGAGAGCAUGAGUUAUCAACAACCAUCUCCAGUCAAGCUGGUCCAGAUGGUAAGGAAAGUAGACAGAGACACUGCUUGGACUUCUUUAAAUAAAUAUAAAAAUGUGUGUUUGCUUAAAUAUGAAUAACUAGGGAAACUUAAAAGUGUGAUGAUGUGGGGACAGCGCUUUAGUAGUUUGUGAACAAUGUAUUUUAGAUCCACUGCUGAGGUUAGCUUCCAGAAUUAAACAAAUGAUAGUGUGUUACAGCCUGAUGGUUAUAACUAACCAAUGACAGUUCCAAUUUGAUUAUGAUUUUAUAAGUAGUUAUAUUGUGUCAUUUUUUCAGAUACAUGCAGUUUCAAUCUUUCCUCCCCUCCAUCUUCUAGAUGUAUCCAAAUCAAGAUGUGAGCUACCAGUGCAGCCGACACAGAAGAAUUUCCCCAAGACCUUCCAGGGAGGAGCCAGAAGAAGCGUCCGCAGUGUCUGGUACAAAUGCCAUCCCUGGCUAGAAUAUUCGUAGUCAAUACUCAGCCUUUAGUCAAAACGCACAAAAGCAUUAGAUCUAGAUAAAUUUGUGAAGUGUUUUGCCGAACAGCAUGGAACUCGCCGAAUUCAGCAGUUAUAGGCAUCAAAUUCACGUUGUGCUCACUGGUUUACCUUAAGAAAGCUUUUUGAAUGAUGACCUACACUGUAUUUAUAUAUUUGUUUUGGAAACUGGGAAAAUGAUAGUAGGCUACCUCGCAUAUGAGAAAGAAAGGUUUAAAAUGUGACACUGGUCUAAAUCCAUGGAGCUGCAAUGGGUUGUUGUUUUUAUUUUCCCAUGCCUCAUUGUAUUAAUCUUACUGGUGUGAGAAUCCUAAUAAAAGAAAGAUUGUAUCGGACGAAGAAUGUCUGUCAUGUUUGUAAAUGGCAGCCAUGCCUUUUUGUAGUGAUCAAACUCAGUAUAUGUCUGCCAUAUGUUGCCACCCCUCAAAAAUUCCUGCCCCCCUCUUGCCACCCCAUGAAUAUUUUUCUAGAUCCGGCCCUGAGUAAAAGUUAUCGUAAGUCAGACUCUCAUACUGAGACAUUUUCUGUCCUCAUCCAUUUUCUCCCUCUGAAUUUAGUUUUAGUCUGUAGCUAUUUAAAUUUAUAAUAAUUGUCCUGAGAUUAAUAUUUGAUAUUAACCUUGAAUUAUAACGUUAAUGCACUCAUUAAAAGGGACACUACCCACCUUUAAUAGAGGAAAAAUAAAGAGUAAAUGCAGUAAAUGAUAGAGAGUGAAUAUGCUCUAACAUAUUAACCUACAUUAACUGUGCAGUAGAAAAUUGGGGUGAGUUUAGAAUUACUCCUCUUAGACAGCAGCCUUGUUUGGAGCUCUGGAGGUUUGCAUAUUUAAGUGAGUCUGGUCCUUAGAAGAGGAUGGAGCAGAAGGUCCAUCCUUUUCCCAGGAGGUCCAGGCUAUCUGUGGUUUGGGAGGUUCAACUCAGCAGAGGACCUAAGUCAAUCUUUCAUAUAUGGAGGUAAACAGAAAUCAAAAAUUACUUUGAACAUUUGAUGAAUCCUGUCUUUACGAAGGUCAAGAUUUUGUUGAAAAUGCUUCAGAAAUUUGUGAUGAAACUGAUUUAUGCUUGUUUUAAAGCUUUUCUGCAUUAAACCCUGUGUACUUUUUUA